rnacentral:rRNA from 1 species
UUGGAGGGCAAGUCUGGUGCCAGCAGCCGCGGUAAUUCCAGCUCCAAUAGCGUAUAUUAAAGUUGUUGCAGUUAAAAAGCUCGUAGUUGAAUUUCGGGAUCAGAUUGUCGGUCGUGCCUCGGUACGCACUGGCAUUAUUGGUUCCUACCUUCUGAAGAACCACGAUGUCAUUAAUUUGGUGUCGUGGGGAAUCAGGACUGUUACUUUGAAAAAAUUAGAGUGUUUAAAGCAGGC